rnacentral:rRNA from 1 species
GGGGAAUAUUGCACAAUGGGCGAAAGCCUGAUGCAGCAACGCCGCGUGAGUGAUGAAGGCCUUCGGGUUGUAAAGCUCUGUCUUCUGGGACGAUAAUGACGGUACCAGAGGAGGAAGCCACGGCUAACUACGUGCCAGCAGCCGCGGUAAUACGUAGGUGGCAAGCGUUGUCCGGAUUUACUGGGCGUAAAGGAUGCGUAGGCGGAUAUUUAAGUGAGAUGUGAAAAUCCCGGGCUUAACUUGGGAACUGCAUUUCAAACUGGGUAUCUAGAGUGCAGGAGAGGAAAGCGGAAUUCCUAGUGUAGCGGUGAAAUGCGUAGAGAUUAGGAAGAACACCAGUGGCGAAGGCGGCUUUCUGGACUGUAACUGACGCUGAGGCUCGAAAGCAUGGGUAGCGAAC